ACCCGCUGAACUUAAGCAUAUCAAUAAGCGGAGGAAAAGAAACCAACAGGGAUUGCCCUAGUAACGGCGAGUGAAGCGGCAACAGCUCAAAUUUGAAAUCUGGCGUCUUUGGCGUCCGAGUUGUAAUUUGCAGAGGGCGCUUUGGCAUUGGCAGCGGUCCAAGUUCCUUGGAACAGGACGUCACAGAGGGUGAGAAUCCCGUACGUGGUCGCUAGCCUUUACCGUGUAAAGCCCCUUCGACGAGUCGAGUUGUUUGGGAAUGCAGCUCUAAAUGGGAGGUAAAUUUCUUCUAAAGCUAAAUACUGGCCAGAGACCGAUAGCGCACAAGUAGAGUGAUCGAAAGAUGAAAAGCACUUUGGAAAGAGAGUUAAAAAGCACGUGAAAUUGUUGAAAGGGAAGCGCUUGCAGCCAGACUUGCCUGUAGUUGCUCAUCCGGGUUUUUACCCGGUGCACUCUUCUAUAGGCAGGCCAGCAUCAGUUUGGGCGGUUGGAUAAAGGUCGGUGACAUGUACCUCUCUUCGGGGAGGACUUAUAGGGCCGACGACAUGCAACCAGCCUGGAUUGAGGUCCGCGCAUCUGCUAGGAUGCUGGCGUAAUGGCUGU
rnacentral:rRNA from 1 species